UGGCGGCAGGCUUAACACAUGCAAGUCGAGCGGUAGCAGAUCUAGCUUGCUAGAUGUUGACGAGCGGCGGACGGAUGAGUAACGCGUAGGAACCUGCCCAGUAGUGGGGGAUAGCCCGGGGAAACUCGGAUUAAUACCGCAUACGCUCUACGGAGGAAAGAGGGGGCUUCGGCUCUCGCUAUUGGAUGGGCCUGCGUGAGAUUAGCUAGCUGGUGAGGUAAUGGCUCACCAAGGCGACGAUCUCUAGCUGGUCUGAGAGGAUGAUCAGCCACACUGGGACUGAGACACGGCCCAGACUCCUACGGGAGGCAGCAGUGGGGAAUAUUGCACAAUGGGCGCAAGCCUGAUGCAGCCAUGCCGCGUGUGAAGAAGGCUUUCGGGUUGUAAAGCACUUUCAGUGGGGAGGAAGGCCUCGUAGUUAAUAGCUGCGAGGAUUGACGUUACCCACAGAAGAAGCACCGGCUAACUCCGUG
rnacentral:rRNA from 1 species